rnacentral:rRNA from 1 species
CACGUAGGGGGCGAGCGUUGUCCGGAAUCAUUGGGCGUAAAGAGCUCGUAGGCGGCUCGGUAAGUCGGGUGUGAAACCCCCAGGCUCAACCUGGGGACGCCACCCGAUACUGCUGUGGCUAGAGUCCAGUAGGGGAGUGUGGAAUUCCCGGUGUAGCGGUGAAAUGCGCAGAUAUCGGGAGGAACACCGGUGGCGAAGGCGGCGACCUGGGUAGAUACUGACGCUGAGGUGCGAAAGCGUGGGGAGCAAACAGG